AUUGAACGCUGGCGGCAUGCCUUACACAUGCAAGUCGAACGGUAACAGGUUAAGCUGACGAGUGGCGAACGGGUGAGUAAUAUAUCGGAACGUGCCCAGCCGUGGGGGAUAACGUAGCGAAAGCUACGCUAAUACCGCAUACGAUCUACGGAUGAAAGCGGGGGAUCGCGAGACCUCGCGCGAUUGGAGCGGCCGAUAUCAGAUUAGGUUGUUGGGGAGGUAAAAGCUCACCAAGCCUGCGAUCUGUAGCUGGUCUGAGAGGACGACAAGCCCCACGGGAACUGAGACACGGUCAAGACUCCUACGGGAGGCAGCAGUGGGUAAUGUUGGACAAUUGACGCAAGUCUGCUCCAGCAAUGCCGCGUGCAGGACGAAGGCCUUCGGGUUGUGAACUGCUUUUGUACGGAACGAAACGGUGAGCUCUAAUACAGUUUGCUAAUGACGGUACCGUAAGAAUAAGCACCGGCUAACUACGUGCCAGCCGCCGCAGUAA
rnacentral:rRNA from 1 species